rnacentral:rRNA from 1 species
AUUCCAGCUCCAAUAGCGUAUAUUAAAGUUGUUGCAGUUAAAAAGCUCGUAGUUGAACUUCUGCAUACCUUCAGUUCUGGCUCCGGUCAAGCUGAUGCGUGCGCAUCCGCUUGCAAACCCGGACCGGCCUUCACUGGUCGACCGGGGGAGUAAGCCCUUUACUUUGAAAAAAUUAGAGUGUUUCAGGCAGGCAAUGGCUCGAAUACUUUAGCAUGGAAUAAUGGAAUAGGACUUUUGUCCAUUUGGUUGGUUAUUGGACAUGAGUAAUGAUUAAAAGGGACAGUUGGGGGCAUUAGUAUUUAAUUGUCAGAGGUGAAAUUCUUGGAUUUAUUAAAGACUAACUUAUGCGAAAGCAUUUGCCAAGGAUGUUUUCAUCA